GAGCUCACUUCAGCAGCACAUAUAGUAAAAUUGGAAUGAUAGAAGAUUUAGCAUGAACGCUGCGCAAGGAUGACACGCAAAUUUGUGAAGCAUUCUAUAUUUUA